UACGUAGGCAGCAAGCGUUGUUCGGAGUUACUGGGCGUAAAGGGUGUGUAGGCGGUUGCUUAAGUUUGGUGUGAAAUCUCCCGGCUCAACUGGGAGGGUGCGCCGAAUACUGAGUGACUCGAGUGCGGGAGAGGAAAGUGGAAUUCCUGGUGUAGCGGUGAAAUGCGUAGAUAUCUGGAGGAACACCGGUGGCGAAGGCGGCAUCCUGGACCGGCACUGACGCUGAGGAGCGAAAGCCAGGGGAGCAAACGGG
rnacentral:rRNA from 1 species